rnacentral:rRNA from 1 species
GAUGAACGCUGGCGGCGUGCCUAAUACAUGCAAGUCGAGCGAACAGACGAGGAGCUUACUCCUCUGACGUUAGCGGCGGAUGGGUGAGUAACACGUGGAUAACCUACCUAUAAGACUGGGAUAACUUCGGGAAACCGGAGCUAAUACCGGAUAACAUGUUGAACCGCAUGGUUCAACAGUGAAAGACGGUCUUGCUGUCACUUAUAGAUGGAUCCGCGUCGCAUUAGCUAGUUGGUAAGGUAACGGCUUACCAAGGCAACGAUGCGUAGCCGACCUGAGAGGGUGAUCGGCCACACUGGAACUGAGACACGGUCCAGACUCCUACGGGAGGCAGCAGUAGGGAAUCUUCCGCAAUGGGCGAAAGCCUGACGGAGCAACGCCGCGUGAGUGAAGAAGGUCUUCGGAUCGUAAAACUCUGUUAUUAGGGAAGAACAAAUGUGUAAGUAACUAUGCACGUCUUGACGGUACCUAAUCAGAAAGCCACGGCUAACUACGUG